GAUGAAGAACGUAGCGAAAUGCGAUAUGUAGUGUGAAUUGCAGAAUUCAGUGAAUCAUCGAAUCUUUGAACGCACAUUGCGCCCCUUGGUAUCCCGAGGGGCAUGCCUGUUCGAGCGUCAUUUCACCACUCAAGCCUGGCUUGGUGUUGGGCGACGUCCCCUUUGGGGACGCGCCUCGAAACGCUCGGCGGCGUGGCACCGGCUUUAAGCGUAGCAGAAUCUUUCGCUUUGGAAGUCGGGGCCCCGUCUGCCGGAAGACCUACUCGCAAGGUUGACCUCGGGUCAGGCAGGGAUACCCGCUGAACUUAAGCAUAUCAAUAAGCGGAGGA
rnacentral:misc_RNA from 1 species